rnacentral:rRNA from 1 species
AUUGACCUACGGGGGGCAGCAGUGGGGAAUAUUGCGCAAUGGGCGAAAGCCUGACGCAGCGACGCGGCGUGAGAGAUGAAGGUCUUCGGAUCGUAAACCUCUGUCAGCAGGGAAGAACGGUCACUGUGCUAAUCAGCAGUGAAUUGACGGUACCUGCAAAGGAAGCACCGGCUAACUCCGUGCCAGCAGCCGCGGUAAUCCGGAGGGAGCGAGCGUUAAUCGGAAUUACUGGGCGUAAAGCGCUCGUAGGCGGUAUGUCAAGUCAA